GACAAGUUUAUUAAUGAUAAUAAUGAGGCUGAUGAAGAUGAUGAUAAUAUUAAUAAUUAGUCAUAAUUAUAAUAACGUUAAUGCCAUAAUAAAUAUAACUCUUCAUCUGAAGCACAUAAGAGAAGCAUAGAGAACAGAAAAACACAAAGGUUUCAGAGCACAGAACCAGGGCAAGGGGACUGCUAGAGGCUUUUCAAUAUAUCACUUUCAUUUUUUCAAUAUUUUUAAACUUUAUUUAACUGGAACAUUUACAAAAGGAGAAAGAGAUAGAUUUUAAAAAAUCCUUAUAAAUAAAUCUGUCAUUAUAGAACAAAAUACAAGAUUUGGGGGAGGAGUUGGAGAGGGUGGGCGGGGUUUGGGGGAGGGGUCUGUUCCUGGAGGGACUUUGGGGUUUGAGGUCAGGGGGUUCAGAGGUCAGAGUAGGGUUCGGCGGAAGGGGGGCGUAUUUUUCGUGGAGAAGGUUCAGAGAUUUUUUAUGUACAGUACAACGGUAAUACAAAAACAGCGAUAGACUCACACGGUGGAAGGGGGGUUGGUCAGGAGGUGGGUAAGGUGGUUCAGAAGAAUUUCAAGGAAAUAAAAUGUCAUUACACCCCAUCCCCCCUCCCCACACACACACACACACUCUACACAUCACUCUCUCCACGCACGGCAAAAACCAAAAAUAAAAGUCCUCGCUGUUACCAACUCGUCCGAAACCAGACAGUUUGAGAGUUUCAACCCAUAGCAAGGCAGGGGGUCCUAAUUACAACGACCGCCCGGGGAUACGAGGCGGUCGCUAAUCAACGACGAAAAAAAAACAACUGAAAAAUUAAAAACAGCAACCAAACCGUGGAAGCCUUCGAGCGUACGGGAAGCGGACCGUUGACGAAUGGAAGUUUAGUUUGAUAAGGAUAAUGAGCCCUGAUUCAGAGGAAGGUAUCAGACCUGAAACAGCGUGAGGUUAUUAAAGAGUGUUGUACACAGAAUAGUAUCAUUGUAGCGUUUGUAAAGGAAGUGUCGAGGUUCUGUCCGAGGGGGGGGGGGUAUUCGCUGUUUUCACAAACACACACUACCCGCUAAUCCGCAUACCCUGAACUCACCAGGUUGUGCUUCACCCAACCCCCCCCCCCCCCAUAACUCUCCCUGUGAUUCAAGUUUUUCUUCGAAGAACUUCACUUAAGAGUUCAGUUGUGUUUUUUUAAUGCAGACCAAAAGUCGCCCACCAGUGAGGGAGGGAGGGAGGGAGGGAGGGGAGGCGGCUAGGGAUUAGCGUAACAAGCUAUAGCUAACCGCGGCGCCCUCAGAUGCUGCUCUGGCCCGCCUGCCUUUAAUUAGCGCAGCGCCAGCUUACUCCACAACUUCCAGCGGGUCUGACGGGCGACGGAAAGUAGGUCACGUCAACGUUGCACACAGGGCCGGGGCCGCCGCCUCACCUACCGGCGGCGAGCCUCUUGAUCAGAAAAGCAGAAAGCAGCGAUGCGAUUUCACUCCCGCUUUGAUUCCGGCGGAAGAUGAAUCAAUAUUCAUGAACUUUUAUCUUCCGACGCGACUACCUUGCCUCCAAUUUAGCGCUGAAUGUGUGCAGGAGCUCCGACGCAGUCGACUGACGGACGGGCCGGGUCGAGUCCGACGCGUCCGAUAACUGCCUAUGUUGUUGUUGUUUUUUUGUCACGUGGAUUGCAAAGGUCUACAUUUGAUUGAUCUAAAAACAUCGGUGGGUCGGCCACUGUCCUGUUGGUUCAGUGUGUGUGUGUGUGUGUGUGUGUGUGUGUGUGUGUGUGUGUGUGUGUGUGUGUGUGUGUGUGUGUCUGUUUGUGUGUGUUUUUGUGCGGGGAAGGUCGGUUCUCACAGACACAACCAUCACUUUCAAUCAAAGAUCACAGAAUCACAAGUUACAGUAUAAACCAGGACUGGACAGUAGGAAGGAGGGAUUGGUGGGAGGGGGGGUCUGAUAUCUAUGUUGGGGGCAAUAAAGACAACGGCUUGCUCUCCCAACCUCCCUACUCCCUGACAUCACCACAGCCCAUAGAAUAGAUAUGUAUAUAUAUUUAUAUACAGAAAAAGAAUACAUACUGGUGGCUGGACACCCUAGACAUUAAAGUACAUUCAAAGAACGGAACCAACAUUCUUGUCUGAAACACACGUUUACAGUGACCUCCCUCCCCUGGAUUGGAAAUCCUCGGUAGUUUUUCCAGUUUUUACCCCCGAAAUUAAGAACCAAAAAAACAAAACGUUUUUUUUUCUUAACUAUUUCAAAGUUUUAGUGCUGCGAAAAAAUCACACAAAUAAAUACUUUCCAGAAUACACUGACAAAACAACAAUGUUAUUAACUGACGUAUUUUUUAGCCCUCGUCUCAUAUUACCAGUAUGUGGGCACGACUGUUCUUCUAAAAUAUGAAAUCUAGCGGCAAAGUCUAUAGGCCUCAGGCUAGUUGUUUUGGUUAUGCACCUGCUGAUGUACGUAUUACAAUGGGAUUAUUCGAUUAUACUUUACUAUUUAACAUGGACGACGUAGUUCCUCGUGCGGCAUUCUGGGUAGUUUUUAUGCACCAUGGGAGGUUAUUUGUGUCUGUGUUUUUUCUCUUUUUUCAUUUCUUUCUUUCUUUUCAUUCUCUCUGUCCGUCCGUUAGUCUGUCCGGGGGGCUGCAGAGCCCCCCCGUGCCCCCCUCCCCUCCUCGGUUCUGCAGGUGGAGGUGGGGUGGAGAGGAGGAGGAGGAGGAGGAGGAGGAGGAGGAGGUGGUGGUGUCUCAUGGGGAUGGAAGGGGAGAGUGGAGGGGGCCAGGGCCGGGGCCAGGG
ensembl:lncRNA